CCCCUGAAAAAACCUACGCUUCUCACCUUUCACAAAACUAGGGUUUUUCUAUCCCUAACCCAAUCAUGAGAUGACAACUCAGCAAUACUUCGUUUCGAUCUUACCAUCUACUGUCAUUGCUUACUGGUGCGGCAUCUUCAAGAUUCACAUACCGUUCAACUCUAUAGUUUCUGGGUUAUGAGAAUCUUGAUGAUGCUGCAUCGGAAAUCAAUUGACCACUUUAAAAAUCAACGCAUCAAAUACGAUUUUGUUGGAUCUCAUACAAACAAAGGUAAUCUUUAUUAUUGUUUUUAUUGCUAGUUUAUGUGGUUGAUCUAUCUGUUCAUAUUCAUUGGUGUUUUGAACAUUCCUUGUGAAGUUGAUACAUGAACAAAAGUAUAGCAGAUCUUAGGCUAUAGACGGUGAAUAUAUUGUUUCUAGCAUAAGAUUGUAACAUCUGGUAUCUCGUAUCACUAAUAUUAUCUGUAUCGAUAUUUUUUUUUUUUUGUUAUUUUGAAUGGAAACUUCUCUUGUAUGACUAAUAUCAUCUGUUUAUAACAAUUUUUUUUUGGUUGUCUAGGGAAACUUCCUAGAAGGUCAAUUACCUUAGGCUAUAGACGUUUAGUUUCUCGUUUCUAGCUUUAAGAUUGUAUUGUAUCACCAAUAUUAUUUAUCUAUACGGAUAUAGUUUUUGUUAUUUUGAAUGGAAACCUCUCUUGUAUGACCAAUAUAUCAUUUGUUUAACGGAUAUGUUUUUUGGUUGUCCAUGUAAACUUCCCAGAAGGUCAACUAUCUUAGGCUAUAGACAGCUUUAAGAUUGUAAAAUUUGGUCACUCAUUUCACCAAUAUUAUUUAUCUACAGUAGUAAAACCUCUAUAAUUUAAUAUCCGAUAAAUUAAUAACCUCGAUAAAAUUAAUAAUUUGUUCAGCCUCAACUUGGGAGCAGUACAAAAUUGGACCCCAAUCGAUAUAAGAUAAUAAUUUUUUGAAAUCCAAAUAUAAAUAUAUUGGUUCCAACGAAACUAUAAAUUAAUAAUUACUAAAAUAUUUCAAAAUUCUAGGAUUGUCUAGUAAAAAUGAAUCUAUAGUCACUUCUUUUUUUAUGAACUUCAAAUCUAUACAGAAUUCAUCUUUAAAUCUCCCUAUUGCACUUAAGAUUUGAAGCACUGUAUUCUCGUAUUGCAACAAAAAGUAGUGAAGAGUUGUUGCCGAUUGCAAGACUUCUUUCCGAGUGACCGGUUCCAAAGGUCAUUCAUCCUAGGAUCAUGGAUAUUUGAUCAUGUGGACAGAAUAUAACGAUGUGGAGUUUGUCUGUGGUGUCACAAACAUAACAGCACCAUGUAUCCAAUUACAAGAUCUGCUAAAAGAAUGUUUAUGCAACAGUAUAUCUUAUCAGGGUGUGUCUUAAUAAAGUUUUCUUUGAGUAUUUGUUAACAUGUAUGAGUCAAUAUAUAUACUGCUUUCUGUUUUCUUAAGUUAUAAGAUAUUCUGUACGGAUCAA